ncrna:Lactobacillus gasseri JV-V03 RT-6 RNA
UGCGUUAUGAUGAAAUUAGGCAUAACGGAAAAGGAUUGUUGUCAAGAUCUCGGUCCAGAAUUUAUUAAUAAUAUUAGUA